GUCUCCAUGGCGCAAUCGGUUAGCGCGUUCGGCUGUUAACCGAAAGGUUCAAGUCCAUCUGGGGACG
rnacentral:tRNA from 1 species